AAAAAAACAAAGCCCUAGAAGAAAGCGGCAUUCACUCCACAACCACCCCCGACACUGAGAGACCCUCACAAACGCCCUGCCCUUUCUUCGACAGACCCCGACACUCUCUCUUCUUCACAAACCCUGACCUCUCUCUCUCCUCGACAAACCCUUUCUCGAUAGGCCCCAACCCUAUCCCUUCUUCGACAGACCCCAACCAAAGCUGUCUCUCUCUUCGACAAACCUAGACAAAAACCAUCUCUGCCUCUAGCGAUCUGGGAGCGAUCUGGUUACUCGAUCUAGGAAGUAGUGAAGGGGAAGAAAACCUAAUGGGUAGCCUCUAGGGUUCUUCAGAUCUUUCACCGAUGGUGGUUAUUGCUUUCGGGUAGAGUUGAAUCAGAGAAAGAAGACCUCGAAUUGCCAGGGUUCGAAAUCGGAGUCGGAUUAAUUAGCGUUAGGGAUUUGCGUCGAUUUUCGACAGGCUUUAGGAUUUUGAUUCUAAAUUCAGCUAUGGGUAACUGGGAUUUGAAUUUUGUGGUCUCAGUAUUGGAUUCGAACGUACAUUGGAGCUGUGGAUUUGAGAUUGAAGGCAAAAAUGUCAAAAUUUGGGCCAAGAAGGUAACUAAGUUGCUACUACUUCAAUUAAGAGAUCAAUAGUGGUUUUGGCUUUACCAUCUUCCGCGAUUGCGAAAUGAGGGCUUGGCUUUGGGGGUUUUGGUCCUGGCGAGGCUCGUCCACCAUCUAUUCGCAGCAGGCGUGACUAUGGGAGGCUGCAUUGAACGCUGCGUUUUAGGUUCGGGUUCGGGUUCAUGUCUGGGAGAAGGUUCUGGAGAGGGACUUGGUGUUAUUUAAAGGCACCAAGGCGAAACAGACUGAGGAUGUUGCUUAUAGGAUGCAUGAAUGGGAUUUUCCAAAUUUUCGAUCGACACCAAGUCCUCACUGGUAGGAGGAUUAGCCACCACAAGAGGCUUCCUCCAGGGAAUUCGCACUAUAGCAAUGGUGGCCUGGAAAGAGAGUCCAACAAUCCCUACCAUUGGCAAGCAGUAACUGUGUGGGAUGCAACUGCAGCUGAUCCUAAAUUGCUGGUCUUUUUGAAAUCGUACAAGAAUUUCUUACACAUUGAAUCUGGGUAAACAUGGUAUCAAGAAACAACCGUUUCAGCUUCCUGAUUUCAUUGCUGCAACUGGUACUGAGAAAAUUAGACAGGGAGAAGUGGAAACCUAUCUUUAAAAAGCACAUUUCUGGCCAAGUUUGUCGUGGUGGUUUUGUUCUAAAAACAAUGAUCCAAGUUUGAAGGCUGCCUGCUUCUAAACUGGACAAUCAUGUGGAAGAUGGAGCAGUGACGAAAGCUUUUGAAGUGAUAGAGAGAAAUUUGUUUAGCUAGAAGUUGGUCUUUUUUGGGUUGGCCUUAAUUGUAGUUCUCCUAUAGAUGUGAUUAUGUGACAUUUUUAGGUACAUUUCUGGAUGUAUUUUGCUAUAAGAGUUUCAAAGAUGUGAUCCCUUAUUUUGUGGAUACAUCGGAUCCAUUUAGACUGCUAUGGGAUUAUAACAGCUUUCUAUUAUGAUUAAAUUACUAUUCUUUUGGUCAUUUUUGCUUCCAGAA